rnacentral:rRNA from 1 species
GAUGAACGCUGGCGGCGUGCCUAAUACAUGCAAGUCGAGCGAACAGACGAGGAGCUUGCUCCUCUGACGUUAGCGGCGGACGGGUGAGUAACACGUGGAUAACCUACCUAUCAGACUGGGAUAACUUCGGGAAACCGGAGCUAAUACCGGAGAAUAUAUUGAACCGCAUGGUUCAAUAGUGAAAGACGGUUUUGCUGUCCCUUAUAGAUGGAUCCGCGCCGCAUUAGUUAGUUGGUAAGGUAACGGCUUACCAAGGCAACGAUGCGUAGCCGAACUGAGAGGGUGAUCGGCCACACUAGAACUGAGACACGGUCCAGACUCCUACGGGAGGCAGCAGUAGGGAAUCGUCCGCAAUGGGCGAAAGCCUGACGGAGCAACGCCGCGUGAGUGAUGAAGGUCUUCGGAUCGUAAAACUCUGUUAUUAGGGAAGAACAAAUGUGUAAGUAACUAUGCACGUCUUGACGGUACCUAAUCAGAAAGCCACGGCUAACUACGUG